rnacentral:lncRNA from 1 species
AGAGUUCCAGAGAAAAUGUAACUUUGGGGAGCUUGAGAAUCUGCCUAUGAGCAAUACCCGGACCACAGGCUCUGUCCUAAAGGACUCUGCACCUCCCUAAAAGCCAAUGAGCAGGCAGGAUUAUCUCCCUCCCUCAUUAAAUAGCUGUCCUCUUCCAAGUUUCUCUCUGUGAGUUCAUUCAAGCUGGGUACUGACUAGCUCUUUUUUCUAAUAUGUACCCACUUCAGAAAAACUAAAGAUAUUUGAAAAAAUUUAAAAUACCCUUCUAAAAGUCAGGAGGGUAAAGAAUAAUAUAUAGCUUCAUAUUUGCAUGCAUUUGCAAAAAGAAAAACUAAAAGAAGAUAUAAGAAAUGAACAAGAUUGGUUACCUUGGGGCAGAGAAAGUGGGAAUUGGAAAGGUGGAAGAGAAAAAUGGGAACAAGACUUUUGACUGAAUAUCUUUGUAUAUCGUUUGAUUACUGAGUCACGUGAAUGUAUUACUGAAAAAUUAAAACCAAUUUCAAUAGGUGGAAGAAAAACCUUGUGAUAGUAUUUAGCCCUUUAAAAUUUAGCCCUUGAAGGACUUUAACCACCCUAAUGUGCAAAUACAAUAGUGGAAUAAACAUGGGUUCUAGAGUAUAAUGUAUUUUGGUUCAAGUUUCAGAACUUACAAUGUAACCUUGGGAAAGUUGGUCAUUUAUUUAUUCAUUCAAGAAACCUUCACUGAAGGCCUACUAUGUGCUAGUUCUUAGGAAUUCAACAGUCCAUUCCCUCAACAAGAAUUUCCCAACUAGUGGAGAAGAUAGACACGGGAAUAAUCAUAAGUCAAUUUUUAAAAUGAAGGGACAGCAAUAUUCGUAAGGAAACAUAGCAUCACUAAAAAGAAACAUCUAACCCAGUUUGUAGGAUUACAGAAAGCUUCCUGGAGGAGGUGACUCCAGGACUGGGUGUUAAACUCUGGAAAAAAAAAAAAAAAAUCAGCCAGGAAUGUUGUUUUUAGGAAGCAAGAAGAAGUUUGGUGCAACACGAGAACAAGGUUGAAAUGGCGAGAAAUAGGGCUUAGUGGCAGACAGAAACAGGAUUCUAGAGAGUUUUGAAUGCCUUAUUGAGGAGCUUGGAAUUUAUCCUGAGAGGAAUGAAGGUCAAAGGAAGGGUUCAAAGCUCAAAUAUGACCAUGUCAUUCCCUGCAUUUGAGCUUUAAAAAGUUUGUGACUAGGGUGGAGAAAACAGCACAGGGGGCCAGAUUGAAGGCAGGAGGGCCAUGAGGGAGCUAUGGUAGUGAUCCAGGUGACAGACAUUGUUGGCUUCCACUAGGUUUCUCAUGUCUGCAGAGAGAAAUGACCAAAUUCAAAAGAUAAAGAAGAUAGAACUGAUAGCUCCUGGAUAUUGAGUGCAUUAAGAGGGCUGGGGAGGAGGAGCCAAACAUGGCUUUCAGGUUCUGAGUUUGGGUAACUGGGUGGAUGGCAGCACCUCAAGUGAAAUAAUGAAGUGGGUGGAGUGUGGUCAGGACAGGCAGGAUUGGGGGUGCUAUAGAAAAAGGCUGCAAAUGUUCAGCUUGCGAAAUUUGAGCUUAGAUGCUUAUAUGGGCAGGGGAGUCUCUAGUAUAUAAAUAAUCUUUGUCUCAGGUUGAUUGGUGUCAACUUUUUAGUUGUGUUUCUUUAGGCAAGUCAUUUAAACUAUCUGCUUUAUGGUUCUCAUCUGAAAAUUGGGAACAAUUAUAAUAGUGUCUGACUCAGGGCUGUUGUGAGGAUUAAGUGAAACUUAGAACAGGAUCUGGCACAAAAUAAGUAUACAAUAAACAUUGCUGUAUAUCUUUUUACCACACCAUAGUCAAGAAAACCUGGUGCAUAUUUUCCUUGAUUCCAGCACUGUGAGUCAGUGGCCACAUCUGUACUUUGACCUCUGGUCACUAGCUGCUUGUACAGUCUCUCACUGCUCCUCUUAAGAGUGCUUCAUACAUGGCCUCAACGUCUGUCCCCAAUGUUACCUUUGUUCUCCAUCUUGGCUUCCUGAUUCCUCUCUCCUAAGUUCGCUUCUGCUCACAGUUCCAGCAUGUCAAAAGUUAGCAAUAUAAGCCAAUGUGUACUGGAUAUCUAUUAUCUGCCAAGAAUGUCCUAAAGGGUUUCUACACACUAUAUACAUGUCCAUAUAUUAUACAACAGACUUGCAAGGUAAGAUAUGAUUUGAUUCUCCACUUUUCAGGUGAGAACACAGGGCUCAGGGAAAUUAACUUACUGUAGAUCACAGAGCUAUUCAGGGAUGGAAACAGGAAUUCUAACUGAGGUCUGCAUAACUCCAAGCUUUUUUCACUCACUUUAACUGCCUCCCAGUUAGCAUCAAAGGAAUGUGUCUGAGGGACACAAAGGAGUGAUCCAAGAGAUCAGCAAAGGCUUUAGGGAAUAGGUAGACCUCAAUAUGAGGUUCCGGAUGUACCAAUUGGAUAUGGGUAGGAGGGGAAGAGAGGCACACUGUUCAUCAUUCCUUUUGGGAGAAUGAUAUGAGCAAAGAUGGAAAGGUAGAGGGGAAUACAGACUGAAUUAAGAAGAUGAAAAUGAAAGUAAACAGAGAAAAUGGAGGAAAGAAUAAGAAUCAUUUAGCUAUGCUGUCGGAGAAGAAGAGUUGUUUACCAAACUUUGAAGUGUUACGAUGGCUAGUUAGCUCCACCUGCUCAUUGGUCCCUGUCAAGACACUCCUGUCCAGCACUACAAUGCUCUGGCAAGACAGUACUGCCUGCCAAUCCUUCAUAAGCCAUUGCACAGAGUCUGCCCUGGGUUCAGCACACCUCAAGGGGCACUGAGAGAUAAUGCCAUCUGCCUGUCAUAUUUUUUGAACAAUAAUCCGUUUCAAGCCUGGGUCAUGACCCAACAAGUAACUCAGACCACCCACCUCUGCCUGGGCUGUAUCUUUGGGUGAGGACUUCUGGAGGGCUGUGCCUCACCUGCUAGCCCCUAACAUUCCUGGAUAAUCCCUGACCCUGAUUUUGCCUUUCUCUUCUGGCUUUGAGGUGCCCCUCUAUAGAAAGAGAAGUUGUAAUGUCUUGUCUAUGCAACAUGCACAACGAAACUAUUCUCUAUCCUGUUUCCUGCACUUCUCAAGUUAAUUUCUGGUGCCUUCCACAGAGUUGGAGGGUCAUCCAUGUCAGAAGAUAAACCGCUGGAAGAAUAGACCAAUUUCCUAUAGAGCUCUAUUUGUAUUUACCUCCGAAAAUCAACUUACCGAAGAUUCACUAUCACGAAUGAGGAAAUCCCCUUCAUGUCCUCUUUCAUUUAAUGCCAUUUCUGCUUGAUGCCUGGUGACUUUGCCAUAAUACCAAGGAUUGCCAGCAAACUUUCCAGUGAGUGAAGGCCUAAUGUAAUCACACUGUGGAGGUGAUGGUUCCAAACCUGAAGUUAAUGGAUUAUUCUGCAUAACGGUAACAUAGUUUUUUGGUACUAGACCAACCAUACCAUUGAUCUUCCUGCAUUUCCACCACUCUGGGUCAUUUUCAGGUUUUUCAAUAACAUCCAUUACAUCUCCUUUCUCGAAA